rnacentral:lncRNA from 1 species
CUUCCUUUUGAAAAUUCACUUACAUUCUAUGGAUUUUACCCUUUCAGGUGGGUCAACUAAUGUCCGUAUAUCAUUGACCUUCAUGGAUUUUAUUUUAGACUUCAUGGCUUCAAGCCACUUAUCAGAGUCAGAGCAUCCAUAUAGGUGAUCAGAUCCUCAUUGUUCUCAUCGAGUUCAGUAGGAUCACCAUCUCAGACCAAAAAAUCAUAAUAUCUAUCCAACUGACACACGCGGUACUCUAUCGGAUCUCCAUAAUGGUGCAUCUAC